rnacentral:rRNA from 1 species
GACGAACGCUGGCGGCGUGCCUAAUACAUGCAAGUCGAGCGAAGUUUUUCUGGUGCUUGCACUAGAAAAACUUAGCGGCGCACGGGUGAGAAACACGUAAAGAACCUGCCUCAUAGACUGGGACCACUAUUGGAAACGAUAGCUAAUACCGGAUAACAGUAUUUCUCGCAUGGGAGAUAUUUAAAAGUUUGUUAUGCUAACACUAUGAGAUGGCUUUGCGGUGCAUUAGCUAGUUGGUGGGGUAAAGGCACACCAAGGCGACGAUGCAUAGCCGACCUGAGAGGGUGAUCGGCCACACUGGGACUGAGACACGGCCCAGACUCCUACGGGAGGCAGCAGUAGGGAAUCUUCCGCAAUGGGCGAAAGCCUGACGGAGCAACGCCGCGUGAGUGAAGAAGGAUUUCGGUUCGUAAAGCUCUGUUGUUAGGGAAGAAUGGAUAUGUAGUAACUAUACAUGUAAGAGACGGUACCUAGCCAGAAAGCCACGGCUAACUACGUG